rnacentral:rRNA from 1 species
UCCUACGGGGGGCAGCAGUAGGGAAUAUUGCCCAAUGGGGGAAACCCUGAAGCAGCAACGCCGCGUGGAGGGUGAAGGUUUUCGGAUUGUAAACUCCUUUUGUUAGAGAAGAUAAUGACGGUAUCUAACGAAUAAGCACCGGCUAACUCCGUGCCAGCAGCCGCGGUAAUACGGAGGGUGCAAGCGUUACUCGGAAUCACUGGGCGUAAAGAGCGCGUAGGCGGGAUAGCAAGUCAGAUGUGAAAUCCUAUGGCUUAACCAUAGAACUGCAUUUGAAACUGUUAUUCUAGAGUAUGGGAGAGGUA